AACGAACGCUGGCGGCAGGCCUAACACAUGCAAGUCGAGCGGACCCUUCGGGGUUAGCGGCGGACGGGUGCGUAACGCGUGGGAAUAUGCCCUUCUCUACGGAAUAGUCCCGGGAAACUGGGGGUAAUACCGGAUAAGCUCUUUGGGGGAAAGAUUUAUCGGGGUAGGAUGGGCCCGCGUUGGAUUAGGUAGUUGGUGGGGUAAAGGCCUACCAAGGCGACGAUCCAUAGCUGGUCUGAGAGGAUGAUCAGCCACACUGGGACUGAGACACGGCCCAGACUCCUACGGGAGGCAGCAGUGGGGAAUCUUAGACAAUGGGGGCAACCCUGAUCCAGCCAUGCCGCGUGAGUGAUGAAGGCCUUAGGGUUGUAAAGCUCUUUUAGCUGGGAAGAUAAUGACGGUACCAGCAGAAGAAGCCCCGGCUAACUCCGUG
rnacentral:rRNA from 1 species